rnacentral:rRNA from 1 species
UCUCUAGUGACCGAUAGUGAACCAGUACCGUGAGGGAAAGGUGAAAAGCACCCCGGAAGGGGAGUGAAAUAGAACCUGAAACCGUAUGCUUACAAGUAGUCAGAGCCCGUUAAUGGGUGAUGGCGUGCCUUUUGUAGAAUGAACCGGCGAGUUACGAUUUGAUGCAAGGUUAAGCAGUAAAUGUGGAGCCGUAGCGAAAGCGAGUCUGAAUAGGGCGUUUAGCAUUUGGUCGUAGACCCGAAACCAGGUGAUCUACCCUUGGUCAGGUUGAAGUUCAGGUAACACUGAAUGGAGGACCGAACCGACUUACGUUGAAAAGUGAGCGGAUGAACUGAGGGUAGCGGAGAAAUUCCAAUCGAACCUGGAGAUAGCUGGUUCUCUCCGAAAUAGCUUUAGGGCUAGCCUCAAGUGAUGAUUAUUGGAGGUAGAGCACUGUUUGGACGAGGGGCCCCUCUCGGGUUACCGAAUUCAGACAAACUCCGAAUGCCAAUUAAUUUAACUUGGGAGUCAGAACAUGGGUGAUAAGGUCCGUGUUCGAAAGGGAAACAGCCCAGACCACCAGCUAAGGUCCCAAAAUAUAUGUUAAGUGGAAAAGGAUGUGGCGUUGCCCAGACAACUAGGAUGUUGGCUUAGAAGCAGCCAUCAUUUAAAGAGUGCGUAAUAGCUCACUAGUCGAGUGACACUGCGCCGAAAAUGUACCGGGGCUAAACAUAUUACCGAAGCUGUGGAUUGUCCUUUGGACAAUGGUAGGAGAGCGUUCUAAGGGCGUUGAAGCAUGAUCGUAAGGACAUGUGGAGCGCUUAGAAGUGAGAAUGCCGGUGUGAGUAGCGAAAGACGGGUGAGAAUCCCGUCCACCGAUUGACUAAGGUUUCCAGAGGAAGGCUCGUCCGCUCUGGGUUAGUCGGGUCCUAAGCUGAGGCCGACAGGCGUAGGCGAUGGAUAACAGGUUGAUAUUCCUGUACCACCUAUAAUCGUUUUAAUCGAUGGGGGGACGCAGUAGGAUAGGCGAAGCGUGCGAUUGGAUUGCACGUCUAAGCAGUAAGGCUGAGUAUUAGGCAAAUCCGGUACUCGUUAAGGCUGAGCUGUGAUGGGGAGAAGACAUUGUGUCUUCGAGUCGUUGAUUUCACACUGCCGAGAAAAGCCUCUAGAUAGAAAAUAGGUGCCCGUACCGCAAACCGACACAGGUAGUCAAGAUGAGAAUUCUAAGGUGAGCGAGCGAACUCUCGUUAAGGAACUCGGCAAAAUGACCCCGUAACUUCGGGAGAAGGGGUGCUCUUUAGGGUUAACGCCCAGAAGAGCCGCAGUGAAUAGGCCCAAGCGACUGUUUAUCAAAAACACAGGUCUCUGCUAAACCGUAAGGUGAUGUAUAGGGGCUGACGCCUGCCCGGUGCUGGAAGGUUAAGAGGAGUGGUUAGCUUCUGCGAAGCUACGAAUCGAAGCCCCAGUAAACGGCGGCCGUAACUAUAACGGUCCUAAGGUAGCGAAAUUCCUUGUCGGGUAAGUUCCGACCCGCACGAAAGGCGUAACGAUUUGGGCACUGUCUCAACGAGAGACUCGGUGAAAUCAUAGUACCUGUGAAGAUGCAGGUUACCCGCGACAGGACGGAAAGACCCCGUGGAGCUUUACUGUAGCCUGAUAUUGAAAUUCGGCACAGCUUGUACAGGAUAGGUAGGAGCCUUUGAAACGUGAGCGCUAGCUUACGUGGAGGCGCUGGUGGGAUACUACCCUAGCUGUGUUGGCUUUCUAACCCGCACCACUUAUCGUGGUGGGAGACAGUGUCAGGCGGGCAGUUUGACUGGGGCGGUCGCCUCCUAAAAGGUAACGGAGGCGCUCAAAGGUUCCCUCAGAAUGGUUGGAAAU